rnacentral:rRNA from 1 species
UUUAAUGGAGAGUUUGAUCCUGGCUCAGGACGAACGCUGGCGGCGUGCCUAAUACAUGCAAGUCGAGCGGACCCUUCGGGGUUAGCGGCGGACGGGUGAGUAACACGUAGGCAACCUGCCUGUAAGACUGGGAUAACUACCGGAAACGGUAGCUAAGACCGGAUAAGUGGAUUG